rnacentral:tRNA from 1 species
UCCCUUGUAGCUCAGUUGGUAAAGAAUCUGCCUGCAAUGCAGGAGACCUAGGUUCAAGUCCUGGAUCGGGAA